AUGGUGCCCGAGCGGCGGAGCAUCUCGCCAAUGUCGGGGAAGGACGCCCUCCUAGCCUCCCUUCUGUGGAAUAGGGAUCGAUUGGAUGGUGGAGGAGGCGAGUGGUCAUGCAAACCGAGCGCGGUCGACAACUUUUAUGGCCGGGAGGAGGUGUUGUGCAUCGGUGCCGCCAUGGAUGCGCUGGUUGAGCAAGGACGAUGCGCUGGCUGGCGUGGAGCGGCGUUGACACAGCGGAGGCGGUCAUGGGAGAUAAGAAAGCAGGCUAGAUGUCAAGUGGGGAAGAAGACAGAACUGACCACAGUCGCGCACUGCUGUGUCAGUGCGGCGGCCGUUGUUGUCGUCGUCUGGCGAGGAAGCGGACGACGGUGCGAGGUGGCCUGA
rnacentral:rRNA from 1 species